rnacentral:lncRNA from 1 species
AAAGAUUUGAACAGACACAUCAGAAAAGAAGACAUACAAAUGGCUGCUAAGCACUUGAAAGGAUUCUGAACACCAUUAGUCAUCAGUGAAAUGCAAAUUAAAGCCAUAAUGAAUGGCGCUAUACAUUUUCAGAAUGGCAAGGAAUGAAGACUGAAAAAAAUCAAGCGUUGUGUUAAUGCACAAGGUCUUGUGUUGAAAAUGUAGAGCCACGAGAUAAAAGCAGCUUGGAUGGCUGACUCAUAUACAAGGGCAACUGCCUGAGAGUCACCAGGACUAUCAAGAAGUUUGCAGAAACAAGAAAUAAACUUUUACUGUUUUAAACUUUUGUGAAUUUUGGGUUUUGUUUAUCACCAAAUAAACCUAGUCUAUUCUGAUUGUUAUAAGUGGUUAAUUUGGGAAGUCAGAUAUAUUUAAAAUUGGCUUACUGCUGUAACAUAUACAGUCCAAAUUACAUAAUGGCUCCAAUGCAAUAGAAGUCUUUGUUUUUUUUUGCUCACAUAUCACUUCAUUGAGAUUCUGCAUUAAUUGUAAUGAGGAGGGUGGGGGUGUCUUAUAUCAUACAGUUGUUCAGCAACCCAGGAUGACCAACUUUGUAAUAUUUUUUCCCACUGGCUUCUAAAGUUCUCAUAGAUAGUAAAAUUCAUUUGGAAGAAGGAGAAACAGCAUGGAGGAUUGCAGAUGGAGAUUUUUAUGGGAAGGCUUGGAGGUUUGGAGGUUGCACAUUACUACUUUUACUUGUUGGCUAGGAAACUAUCAUGUGGUCACACCUAAGUGCCAGUGAGUCUGACAAUGUGGCAAUUUGGUUGCGGGCCAGGGGUAAGAGGCAAUAAAUUUUGCUCAAUAAUUAUCAGUUUUUGCCACAGAUGGAGGGACUUUUCAUUGUAUAAGUAGUUGUUACUGUUUGAAUUUAAAACAGGAAAAUAUCAUUUUCAAAUAAAAACACAAAAGUGGCACAAAAAAUUCUUAUGAUUUUUUUUGCUUGAAUUUUGUGCAUUUAUUUGGCUAUUAUUAAAGUAAAUAAUUCUCUUUAUAGAAAAUGUAGAAAAUAACAAAAAAUAAAUAAGCAGAAAGUCAUCCAAUAACCCCCAUGAUCCCAGCAUAAUAAUCUUUUUUAAGGUAACUGAAAU